UCUUCAGCUCCCCCAAGUAGCUGGGACUACAGGCGCAUGCCACCACCAAGGUUGCCAGCUUAGCCAUUGUGAUGUCAAGAGAGGCAGACCCGGUACAACACUUUUCGUGGAGAAGAGCCUUGGUGAGUUAAUAAGUUUCUGGCAGUUCCCUGCUUUUAUGGUGUAGUCAUGGUGAAACCUGAGUCAUCUGAAGAUGGUGGCAGUGCCAGAGAGCAGGGGAGAGG